GCCUGUUUAUCAAAAACAUGGCUCCUUGUAAAAUAUAAAUGGGGAGUCGGACCUGCCCAGUGAGGUUUUUAACGGCCGCGGUACUCUGACCGUGCAAAGGUAGCAUAAUCAUUUGCCUUAUAAUUGAAGGCUAGUAUGAAGGGUUUGACAAGAAUAUAGCUGUCUCUAUAUAAUUUAAUAGAAUUUUAUUUAUAGGUGAAGAAGCCUAUAUUACAUUAAAAGACAAGAAGACCCUAUUGAGCUUUAAAGAAAUUAAUAGAUCUAAGUUUAAUAGCUAUUUAAAAAACUUGCUGUUAGAAAUUUUGGUUGGGGCGACUGAGGAACAAGAAAAGCUUCCUUUAACUUAUAAAACAUACAAAUACUGAUCCAAAAUAUUUUGAUUAAAGAAAUUAGUUACCAUAGGGAUAACAGCAUUAUCUUUUUUGAGAGUUCUAAUCGAAAAAAAGGUUUGUGACCUCGAUGUUGGACCAGAAUAUCCUAAAGAUGCAGCAGUCUUUAAAGGUUGGUCUGUUCGACCAUUAAAAUUCUACGUGAUCUGAGUUCA
rnacentral:rRNA from 1 species